UGUGUACUUCCUCCGUUCCAAAAUACUUGACUUCCAUUUGUCCAAAAAUGGAUGUACCUAUAUACUAAAACAUGUCUAGAUACAUAUAUAUUUUGACAAAUAGAAGGCAUGUAUUGUGCAACGGAGGGAGUAGAAU
rfam:Triticum aestivum genome assembly, contig: Triticum_aestivum_CS42_TGACv1_scaffold_328757_4BS